rnacentral:rRNA from 1 species
GUAAGGAAUAUUGCGCAAUGGAGGCAACUCUGACGCAGCCAUGCCGCGUGCAGGAAGAAGGCGCUACGCGUUGUAAACUGCUUUUAACCGGGAAGAAACCCCAGGACGUGUCCUGGGUUGACGGUACCGGAGGAAUAAGCACCGGCUAACUUCGUGCCAGCAGCCGCGGUAAUACGAAGGGUGCAAGCGUUAUCCGGAUUCAUUGGGUUUAAAGGGUGCGUAGGCGGAGCGUUAAGUCAGUGGUGAAAUCCUGCAGCUUAACUGUAGACUUGCCAUUGAUACUGGCGCGCUUGAGUGCGCUUGAAGUGGGCGGAAUGUGCCGUGUAGCGGUGAAAUGCUUAGAUAUGGCACAGAACACCAAUUGCGAAGGCAGCUCACUAAGGCGAUACUGACGCUGAGGCACGAAAGCGUGGGGAUCGAACAGGAUUAGAAACCCCGGUAGUCC